rnacentral:lncRNA from 1 species
AAAUUCUGCACAGCAUUUUUGUUUGCAGAUUUGUUCUUCUGUGUUGAGUACUCUUGAUGAAGUAACCAUGUUAUCAUGUUUGUUGACGCUUCCAUGGUUUGUACCACUGUCCCUCUGUAAGUUACUUCCAUUGGAUUGAAUGAAUCGCAUUAAUACUACAGUUGUAGAUUUCUUGACAGAAAAGAACAUCAGUAUAAAUUUAGUACCUGCAAAAAGAAACACAUGUUAAUGAAAAAUGUUAUCUCCAUGUUCUUCUCUGGUCGAUCAUGGUGACUGCAUUUUGUAUUAAUGUUGAUUGCAUUUGUUUCUUCCCUUUCCUUCUCUAAUUUCUUGCAACUCUUAUUCUCAGGUUUGGACAUUGUAGCUUAUCUGCAUUUACCAACCUUCUGCUCGACGCAUCAAGUUCCCAGAAAUCAUAACUCUCUAUGUUGCCACUGUCAAGUGCAUAAUGUGCAAGGUGGUCUGUUAGUUUAUUUUACUUUCUUUCUCUAAUUUCUUGCAACUCUUAUUCUCAGGUUUGGACAUUGUAGCUUAUCUGCAUUUACCAACCUUCUGCUCGACGCAUCAAGUUCCCAGAAAUCAUAACUCUCUAUGUUGCCACUGUCAAGUGCAUAAUGUGCAAGGUGGUCUGUUAGUUUAUUUUCCUCUCUGAAAAUGUGAGAUAUCUUGAAAUUACACCCACUUUGAGUCUGUUGAUUUCCUCCACUGCAACCACAAUAUUCCAUGGUGGUUUCCAUUGUCAAUCUAUGAUUUUUUGAAGCAUUAUUGAAUCUGUUUGAAGCCAAACAUUGUGGAGGUUCAUUGUUUUGCACAUUGUCAUUGCCUCUACUAUUGCUGUCGCCUCAGCUUCGUUGUUAGAACCCUCCUUAAUUUCUCUUCCUUCUGCAUAUAUAAAAUCACCUAUCUCAUCUCUUAUACAAAAACCAAUUGAACCCCUCCAUGUUUCCCUCUGCAUGCUCCAUCGGUACUUUGAUCUAGCCUGUUGGAGGAGAUUCCCAAGUCACUUUAUCAUAUUUUAAUCUAGGUGUGUAUUGCUCCAUCAUUGUCAGCAAGUCCGGCCAGAGGCACCUGUAUUCCUGGUUUUUUCAGUUGGACUAGAGCUUGCAGCAUAGAUGACACCUGGAAAAUGACUCUUCUUACUGACACUGCUUCUCCAUAUUUCAAACUGUUUCUUCUCUUCCAUAACUCCCAUGCAAUGCAUGCAGGUAAAGCUCACAAGACAGGCUUCAAUCUAUUAACAACUGAUGACGUCCAACAUUUUGUAAUUGCUUGUUGUAAAGACGACCCUUGAAUUACAAUUCCUGCUAAUACAUGCAGGUAAAGCUUGCAAGACUGGCUUCAAUCUAUGUACAAUUGAUGUCGUCCAUCACUUUAUAAUUGCUUGUUGUAAAGACAAGCCUUCUAAUGCAAUUACUGCUCUCCUCAGUAAGUAACUCCAAAUAGUCGUAGCC